rnacentral:sRNA from 1 species
UUUAGUGUGAGGAGAGAACCAGUAGGGACAUCGAGACGAAACACGGCCAGUCGUCGAUGUCCUUUCUG